CAGUAGCCGCGGGAAUACAGAGGGUGCGAGCGUUAAUCGGAUUUACUGGGCGUAAAGCGUGCGUAGGCGGCUUCUUAAGUCGGAUGUGAAAUCCCUGAGCUUAACUUAGGAAUUGCAUUCGAUACUGGGAAGCUAGAGUAUGGGAGAGGAUGGUAGAAUUCCAGGUGUAGCGGUGAAAUGCGUAGAGAUCUGGAGGAAUACCGAUGGCGAAGGCAGCCAUCUGGCCUAAUACUGACGCUGAUGUACGAAAGCAUGGGGAGCAAACAGGAUUAGAUACCCCAGUAGUCCCUGUCUCUUAUAC
rnacentral:rRNA from 1 species